CAACCUAAAACCCUCUUCCUCUCCCACCUUCCAGAACCCGCCGUCUUUCCCCACAUUCUUCCGCCAUUAAAGCUCUGCAAAUAAUCCAGUAAAGGAGCAGAGUUCAGCAUUUGGUGCAGUUGUUUGAGACUAUAAGAUGGAGCAAAGUUCAGCAUGUAAUUAGAAAAAUAAAAUUUUAAAUAAUUAAUUGAUUUUGUAAAGUGUAUAAAAUUGAAUGAAUUUUGAGGAGUAUGAACAAGAUUAUUUCA